rnacentral:rRNA from 1 species
GAUGAACGCUGGCGGCGUGCCUAAUACAUGCAAGUCGAGCGAACAGAUAAGGAGCUUGCUCCUUUGACGUUAGCGGCGGACGGGUGAGUAACACGUGGGUAACCUACCUAUAAGACUGGAAUAACUCCGGGAAACCGGGGCUAAUGCCGGAUAACAUUUAGAACCGCAUGGUUCUAAAGUGAAAGAUGGUUUUGCUAUCACUUAUAGAUGGACCCGCGCCGUAUUAGCUAGUUGGUAAGGUAACGGCUUACCAAGGCAACGAUACGUAGCCGACCUGAGAGGGUGAUCGGCCACACUGGAACUGAGACACGGUCCAGACUCCUACGGGAGGCAGCAGUAGGGAAUCUUCCGCAAUGGGCGAAAGCCUGACGGAGCAACGCCGCGUGAGUGAUGAAGGUCUUCGGAUCGUAAAACUCUGUUAUUAGGGAAGAACAAAUGUGUAAGUAACUGUGCACGUCUUGACGGUACCUAAUCAGAAAGUCACGGCUAACUACGUG